rnacentral:misc_RNA from 1 species
UAUUAGAAAUCGUACCGUCUGCGGCGGAGUCGCCGCCCACCCCAGAAGAUGCAGAAGUUAAUAAGACAGUGGCUGGUAAGAAUGCACUAUCCGGCGUCCCCGUUGCCGUCUUAAUUCGGUAAACGAUUUUAAUUUUUUUACCGCCUGCAUCAGCAGGAAUGGUAAAAGCCGUCCCGGUUGCCGCCGGGGUUCCAGAAGGAUCGGCGGCCUCAUUAUCCACCAGAUACCAUUUAAUAUCGUCGGCAUUAUUCAUUUUAUCCAGCGAUAAGGGAUCCCCAUCCUUAUCCUCAAUAAAAACAUCCGCUAUCUGGAGGGUUGAACCGGUCGUCAGUUC